rnacentral:lncRNA from 1 species
CGCCCAGGCUGGAGUGCAGUGGCAAAAUCUUGGAUCACUGCAACUCCGCCUCCCAGGUUCAAGCAAUUCUCCUGCCUCAGACUCCUGAGUAGCUGGGAUUACAGGCACCUGCCACCACGCCCCGCUAAUUUUUGUAUUUUCAAUAGAGACGGGGUUUCGCCAUGUUGGCCUCAAACUGCUGACCUCGUGAUCCGCCCGCCUCAGCUUCCCAAAGUGCUGGAAUUACAGACUUGAGCCACAGCGCCCGGCCCGUUCUUUCUUUAAUUCCUCCUGCUUGCAGCUCAGCAAACGGGGGCAUGUUAUAGCUCAUUUGCUCCCGCAGCCUGUGGCUUGGCUAAUGGGGGAGUGUUAUAGCUCUGCCGUGGGGAGUCCCAAGGUCUGGGCCUCCAGAAGGGUUGCAGCUCCUCACUCCUGUAGUCCAGCGAACGGGAUCAUGUCACAGCUCUUUUCUUUUAUAUAUUUUUUUCUUUCUUUUUUUUUUUUUUUUUUUUUUUGAGGCGGAGUUUUGCUCUUAUUGUCCACGCUGGAGUGUAAUGGCGCGAUCUCCGCUCACUGCAACCUCUGCCUCCUGGGUUCAAGCGAUUCUCCUUCCUCAGCCUCCUGAGUAGCUGGGAUUACAGGCGUCCACCACCAUGCCCGGCUAAUUUUUUGUGAUUUUAGUAGAGAUGGGGUUUCACCAUGUUGGUCAGGCUGGUCUCGAACUCCUGACCUCAGGUGAUCCACCUGCCUUGGCCUCGCAAAGUGCUGGGAUUACAGGCGUGAGCCACUGUGCCAGGUCAUCACAGUUCAUUUCAUUCACACCGCCUGCAGCUCAGUGAGCCUGCGAGGAGCAUAUUACAACUGUUUUAUGCUCCCACCGUUUGUCAGGUGCCAGGUUCUCCUCCCGUGACCAAGAAGAAUGAGAACAUAUCAUUAUAGUCAAAAGAACCCAAAAUGUGAAGAAUCUAAAAGAAACAUUGUUCCAAGAGGAAGAUCAAGAUGGCAGAGGAAGACCACCUCAAGAGAAAUGAAUGCAUGCAGAGGAAAGAGACUACGCGGAGGAACGUGAGAAGAUGAGUGCAUUUAGCAUGAAACCUAUAACAUCUGACCUUUCACCAAGAUCAUAGCCCAACUCAUAGCUGCAUGUUUAAUUGGAUCACUUAACGUCAGUGUAGACACAUCAGUAGAGUGUCUUGGAAUGGCCUUUUUUCUCACAUCCAAGUCAGGAAGUUAAUAGCCCAAAGAGAUGACAUAAUAG